rnacentral:rRNA from 1 species
UGGGGAAUAUCGCACAAUGGAGGGAACUCUGAUGCAGCGACGCCGCGUGAACGAAGAAGGCUUUCGAGUCGUAAAGUUCUUUUAUAUGGGAAGAUAAUGACGGUACCAUAAGAAAAAGCCCCGGCUAACUACGUGCCAGCAGCCGCGGUAAUACGUAGGGGGCUAGCGUUGUCCGGAAUCACUGGGCGUAAAGGGUUCGCAGGCGGAAAUGCAAGUCAGGUGUAAAAGGCAGUAGCUUAACUACUGUAAGCAUUUGAAACUGCAUAUCUUGAGAAGAGUAGAGGUAAGUGGAAUUUUUAGUGUAGCGGUGAAAUGCGUAGAUAUUAAAAAGAAUACCGGUGGCGAAGGCGACUUACUGGGCUCAUUCUGACGCUGAGAAACGAAAGCGUGGGUAGCAAACAGG